AGCUUUAUGAAAAAAUAUAAAGUAAAGCCUGCCCUAUGAAAUUUAAAUGGCCGCAGUAUCUUGACUGUGCAAAGGUAGCAUAAUAAUUAGUCUUAUAAAUCAAGACUGGAAUGAAUGGUUAAAUGAAGUUAUAAAUUUCUUAUAUUAAAAAUUAAAAUUAAUCUUUUUGGUGAGCAGACCAAAAUUUUACUGUAAGACGAGAAGACCCUACUAAGCUUUAUAUAUAUAUAUAUUUAUUACAUUGGGGUAAUGUUAGAAAAGUUUUUCUAUAUAAAAAAAUAUAUGAUAAUAUACCUAAUAUUAUAAAAGAUAAAACAAGUUACUAUAGGGAUAACAGCUUAAUCCUUUUUAAUAGUUCAUAUUGACAAAAGGGAUUAUGACCUCGAUGUUGGAUUAGAAAUAUUACUUGGAGUAACAACUAAGAAAAUCAGUCUGUUCGACUGUUAAAAUUCUUCA
rnacentral:rRNA from 1 species